GCUUACGGCCAUACCACCCUGAGCACGUCUGUUCUCAGAAGCUAAGCAGGGUGGGGCCUGGUUAGUACUUGGAUGGGGAGACCGCCUGGGAAUACCAGGUGCUGUAAGCU
rnacentral:rRNA from 1 species